UCCGUAGGUGAACCUGCGGAAGGAUCAUUACCGAGUGCAGGUCUGCCCCCGGGCAGGCCUAACCUCCCACCCGUGAAUACCUGACCAACGUUGCUUCGGCGGUGCGCCCCCCCCGGGGGUAGCCGCCGGAGACCACACCGAACCUCCUGUCUUUAGUGUUGUCUGAGCUUGAUAGCAAACCUAUUAAAACUUUCAACAAUGGAUCUCUUGGUUCCGGCAUCGAUGAAGAACGCAGCGAACUGCGAUAAGUAAUGUGAAUUGCAGAAUUCAGUGAAUCAUCGAGUCUUUGAACGCACAUUGCGCCCCCUGGCAUUCCGGGGGGCAUGCCUGUCCGAGCGUCAUUGCUGCCCUUCAAGCCCGGCUUGUGUGUUGGGUCGUCGUCCCCCCCGGGGGACGGGCCCGAAAGGCAGCGGCGGCACCGCGUCCGGUCCUCGAGCGUAUGGGGCUUUGUCACCCGCUCGAUUAGGGCCGGCCGGGCGCCAGCCGGCGUCUCCAACCUUCUAUUUUACCAGGUUGACCUCGGAUCAGGUAGGGAUACCCGCUGAACUUAAGCAUAUCAAUAAGCGGAGGA
rnacentral:rRNA from 2 species